rnacentral:rRNA from 1 species
UACGUAGGGAGCAAGCGUUGUCCGGAAUCAUUGGGCGUAAAGCGCGCGUAGGUGGCCCGGUAAGUCCGCUCUGAAAGUCACAGGCUCAACCUGUGAAAGCGGGUGGAUACUGCCGGGCUAGAGUCCGGAAGAGGCGAGUGGAAUUCCUGGUGUAGCGGUGGAAUGCGCAGAUAUCAGGAGGAACACCAACGGCGAAGGCAGCUCACUGGGACGGUACUGACACUGAGGCGCGAAAGCGUGGGGAGCGAACAGG